rnacentral:rRNA from 1 species
GGUAGCAUAAUCAUUAGUUUUUUAAUUGAGAACUUGUAUGAAAGGUUGAACAAAAGAAAUUCUGUCUUUUUUUUAAAAAUUGAAUUUACCUUUUAAGUGAAAAGGCUUAAAUAUUUUAAAGGGACGAUAAGACCCUAUAAAGCUUUGAUAAUAGGAUAAUUAAUUUUUGAAUUUAUUUAUAAAAAAAUGUAUUGUUUUUUUAUUUUAUUGGGGUGAUAUAAAUAUAAAAAAUAACUGUUUAAAUAAAAUACACAUAUUUGUGAAAUUGUAAAAGAUCCUAAUUUUAAGAUUGAAAGACAAAGUUACUUUAGGGAUAACAGCGUUAUUUCUUUUGAGAGUUCUUAUUGAAAAAGAAGUUUACGACCUCGAUGUUGAAUUAAAAUAAUCUUCACAGUGUAGCCGUUGUGAAAAGAGGGUCUGUU